rnacentral:ncRNA from 1 species
CCAUCUGUUAAGAGUACGAUUAAAGAUAAUUUGGUAGGUUAUAGUUAGUCGGCAUAGAUAGCUCCGAACAGGUAGAGUAGAAAGUAAAUUCGUUAGGGUACUAAAAAGGCCGGAGUGGUAAAACACCGGCCUUUUUU